rnacentral:rRNA from 1 species
GAUGAACGCUGGCGGCGUGCUUAACACAUGCAAGUCGAACGGAAAGGCCUCAGCUUGCUGGGGUACUCGAGUGGCGAACGGGUGAGUAACACGUGGGCGAUCUGCCCUGCACUUCGGGAUAAGCUUGGGAAACUGGGCCUAAUACCGGAUCGGACACUGGCUUGGAUGCUGUUGUGGAAAGUUUUUCGGUGUGGGAUGAGCUUGCGGCCUAUCAGCUUGUUGGUGGGGUAAUGGCCUAGCAAGGCGGAGACGGGUAGCCGGCCUGAGAGGACGGACGGACACACUGGAACUCAAAGGGAGGCCAGAGUCCGAAGGAUUGCAGCAAGGGGGAAUGUUGGACAAUGGGAUAAAGCGUGAUGCAGGGACGCCGCGUGGUGGUAGAGCGCUUUCGUUUUGUAAGCACCUCUGGCUAUUGACGAAGCGUUGUUGUGACGGUACCUGGAGAAGAAGCACCGGCUAACUACGUG